rnacentral:sRNA from 1 species
CAGUGACCGCCCCCCCAGGCCGCCGAAGAUUGAAGAGGACCGAACUGACCAACCAGCUGUCCCUCUUGGCUAAGUGUUGAAACCAGUGCCCUAGUGAGGGGGCACUGGCUAACCUCGGACUUUCGAUGUGCUUUUUGCCUUGAUGCUUUGCUUUUCUAUGUGCGUCUGCUUCUGUUAACCUUCCAUCAACCUGGAGGUUUCACCAUCCCAGGGAGGUGUCAGUCUUUCUCAGUCCACCCCGUCAUUAUCCCCAGGAUGGUCUGAAAGGAAGGGUCCCUUUGGGAACUUCUCAGGAGGGAGACCUGGGCCAAGGGCUCGGCCAGCAUCUCCCUGGCAAUUCCAAGGCCCAGGGUGGGCUUCUGGAAGGAGCAUGAUUCCCGAGGCCAUGCUACUGAACUGCCAGGGGUAUCCCCACCUCUUCCAGAUCUCCUCGUCCUUUCUGGGGAACUGGGAUCGAGAAAAGCAACCUCCCAGGGUGUUGUGAGUGUUGGUCCGAUUCUGGGAAGCUGGUAAGGCCAGGCAUAGAAGAGGCGGUCAGUAAAUGUUUUUCCCAAACAGGUUGGUCGACCACGUCCCCCUCGCCCCCCUCACCUGUCUCACGCUUCUCGUUUAUUCUCCCACAGCGCUCCGGACAACCCCAGUCCGCAGGGCUCUCGGUGUACCAGCCCCGCCUCCUGUAAAGCCUAUCUACAUUCGCUGUCUUCCUUCCUCACCUUCCGUUUCCCCUCCAACCCACCGCUUCGUGGUCUCCUCUGGUCCGUUGAACUCCACCAGCUCUCAGGAGCCCCGGCGGCCCCGGAUCGUGAACGCCUGGACAGAGGAGGUGGAGGAGCUGCCCUGGAGCAGCACGUCUUCCGCAGGGUCACCUGGCGUCUUGCGCCUGCCCCGAGCUGCGACGCUGCUGCCUGGCUUGGGCCGAAGCCAUCAUCUGGAAUCCUCCGUGGUCCAGGACCUCGAACCCGCCACCCCAGCACCCUCUGGCCCCACAAUCGGCAAACUAGGAUGAAGUGCCUAGCUGGGGA